UAUUAAUAUACGUAUUGAAAGCUGGUUAAUUAGCACAGCUGAAGCCCAUCUGGUAUAUAUAUUCAACAUGAUGCUAAACUAAACGUCUCUCCUCCAGGCACAGAAGCGUACAUCCCGCCAGAGUUUUAUGAAAAAGGAUGCUACCGGGCCAAACCAGCGACGGUCUAUUCUCUUGGGGUUCUUCUGUUCACAAUGCUCCAUGGAGAAUUCCCAUCAGCGUAUGACCUGUACUACCUUCAACAUGACUGGUCCAAAUUUACCCUCUCUCAAGAAUGCUGUGAUAUGAUGACGGCUUGUCUGCAUGAGAAUCCAGAGUGCAGAAUUCCUCUAGAAGAGAUGCCUUACCACGACUGGUCCAUGCUGGAGUUCUGAGUCACAUUAGCAGAAUGUUUUGUAUAUUUGAUUUUUGUACAUGUCUGUAAUAAAGAUAUAUUUUAUUGAACUCA